AGAUUGAACGCUGGCGGCAUGCCUUACACAUGCAAGUCGAACGGCAGCACGGGAGCAAUCCUGGUGGCGAGUGGCGAACGGGUGAGUAAUACAUCGGAACGUGCCCAGUAGUGGGGGAUAACCCGGCGAAAGCCGGACUAAUACCGCAUACGACCUACGGGUGAAAGCAGGGGAUCGCAAGACCUUGCGCUAUUGGAGCGGCCGAUGUCAGAUUAGCUUGUUGGCGGGUAAAAGCCCACCAAGGCGACGAUCUGUAGCUGGUCUGAGAGGACGACCAGCCACACUGGGACUGAGACACGGCCCAGACUCCUACGGGAGGCAGCAGUGGGGAAUAUUGGUCAAUGGGCGGAAGCCUGAUCCAGCCAUGCCGCGUGAGUGAUGAAGGCCCUAGGGUUGUAAAGCUCUUUUGUGCGGGAAGAUAAUGACGGUACCGCAAGAAUAAGCCCGGCUAACUCGUGCCAGCAGCCGC
rnacentral:rRNA from 1 species